AUCCAUAUCAACAUCGAAGCAUCGGUUCUCGUACGAUCACCAAAGUUAAGCUACGUUGGGCCUUGUCAGUAACUAGAUGGGUGUCCACUUAGCAAUAGUAGGCGCUAU